GCUUGGUGGUCGAGUGGUAAGGACAUUUGCCUCUCACGCUGGAGUUCCGGGUUCGAUCCCUGGUCGAGGUGCU